AGGCUGGAAUGGAAGACUUGACAAUAAAGUAUGAAAAGAUGGUUCCUGGAUCCACAUAAGAAGAGAUGGUGCCUGGAUACCACAAAGAAUCUUCUGACUGGACAAUAAGCACAUAGCUGAACCUGGCUAGGCCUGCAGCCGGGGACAGUGCAGCUGGAGAACCUCAAACAGGAUGUGCCCUUCCUGCUGCGUUACCGCAGGGGACAGGGAACGGGGAGGAGACGGAGACGCAGGCCCGCUUUCUGAUGACAGGCUCCAUGUCGGCACUGGCUCACUCCGCAGCCUGGGGGACCCUCCUAUCCCUUCUAUGAAACAAGUCACUCCUUCUUCCAGAGAAGAGCUGGUGAAGAGGAAAAGACAAAGUCAACCCAUCACUGCCCUGGGAGAACCCUGGAGGCAGAAGAAGGACUUAGAGGAGCAGGAAGGUAAAAGCCAACAAGAUUGAGCAAGAAGAACCCUUGACACCCAGGGAUAUGGAAGUACAUUUAAAGGCUGUGAGGAGGGGCGCCUGG